rnacentral:lncRNA from 1 species
GCCCAACUCCCUGCUCCCGUUUCGGGCCGGGUCACCCCCUGUGGCCCCAGCUCCUUCUGCUGGGAACAACCCCCCUGUUCACAGGUGAGAAAGCUGAGGCUUCGGUGUCGUUCCAGCCUCAGCAGGAGAGGAGGAGCUGGUCACUCAGCAGUGCCAGCUUGGGGGCAGAUGGGGGGAUCUGGGGCGUGUCCCCAGGGGCAAGGACAGCUGACCUUUGCCCACCUCACCUCUUCCCUCGGCCCUGAGACAGGUGCGGGAGCCCCGCGGUGGCCAGUGUCCCAGCAACUACCCAUCCCCAGGCCUUUCAGGACACCUAUGGCACCACCCACAGGAGAGAGACAUGCCCUGUACCCUACACUGCCCUGGGCUGCUGAGCCGGAACACAGUGCCACCUAGAGGACCUUCUGGGUUUCAGGGGACAGAAGGCUGCAGUCCUGGGGCUAUGCCACUGAGAUCUGGCCUGGCUUCACAUGCCACCCCACCUGGGGGACCUGGCAGGAAGCUGGGCUUGCUAGACCCCCACAUGCUGUUGUGCACAGGUGCCCGCCCCCCGCCAUAUCCCGACCUCUUGAGGUACCCCAGGGCCAGGAGCUUCCUUCUAGCUCCCCUGGGCUCCCACCAGCUGCAGACAGCUGCCAGCCGUCACACACAUCUGAACCCCCAGGCACCUCCAGUGCAGACCUGCCUUUUCCAACAACCUCCCUCAUCUGUGCCGCCCUUGGGAGGGUCCCUGGUUGUCUCCUGACUGCAGGCUCCAUCCUUCCACUUGAGAUCCAGUGGCCAUUUGGUCCCCCAGGGACUCAGCCACAUCCUUGCCCACUCCCUGCCUCUUGCUCCUUCCCACUAUCACUGUGCCCUCUCCAUGCUCUGCCCACCCUAGAACCCCAGAGGGUCUCCCCAGCUG